UUGCAGGAAGCUGCAGCAUCAGCAGCAACAAAUGGAAUGAGGAGAGUUCUCAGCAUGUGGUGGCCCUACUGGCUUAGAUUCAAGAGACCCUUAUGAUCUCCAGCAUGGAGCAAGGAUGUUUGGAUAUACUUCCCAAGCUAAGACAUAUUGUGGAGAAAGAAACUGGUGGAACAAGUUGACUUGCAGCAAGCCAUUGAGCUCCAAGGUCGGAGACUGAUGGGUCUGCGACUUCUUGAUGUAAAAAGGCACAAUCACCACCGUACAUAUUUAACUUCUUAUAGUAGUGAUACUUUUUAUUUAAUUCCUUUAUAUAUACUUUUGAAUAUAUUUAAUUUUUAUUAUGAAAUAUAUGACGUUAUUCCAUUCAAUA